UGCUGUGAGUGUAGCUGAGGGAGAGACUGCAUAUCCCUUGGUGAGAGGACAUAGUUUUUUGCUGCUCCGGCCGUCGCCCGCAUUAGAGCUGAGCGGUAUACAUUGCGGCGGCCGGAGGGGGCUUAGUGUGUGUAGCCAGAACAGGGCUUCCUUACUGUAAAGGUGGUGACAGCAGCAUUGAGACUCAGCACUGUUCAUAGAACCCAAGAUCAGCGCUAGUCAACUCACCCAGCAGUAUUGGAAGGGCACAUCUGUGACAGGGAGACAGAGAGGGUUCCUUCCUACCUAUUACCGGCACAGACUCUGACAGCCACAACAAAGAAGCCAGGACCAGAAGCAGAGGCUCCAUUCUGUGUGGCUAUGAGCCAAGAUCCCCAAGAUACAACCCACUGCAAAUAGAUGAUGAUGGGACAUUUACUUUGCAUCUGUAUUCUGGCACACCCCCACAGGUCCAAACUCCAAGACACCUAGCCCUGACUUACAGGAGCCAACAACACAAGUAGGUGUUGAAGCUGCCACUGACUUCCUGAAUUCCAUGGCUUCAUUCCAUCAGGACUGUUAGACACAUCAAUGAAGCAUUUGUUACAAAUUUGUUGAUAGUUGUGAAAACGUGACUGUACUUUUAUGUUAAUUUAUUGUUAAUUUCAUGCUGUUAAAUGAAAAUGUCAUGCAGCUCAACAUCAAUUUCGCACAGGGUUUUUCAGUAAUGACCAGGAGGCACAAACCUAGUCAAAUGUGGCCUUUCAAGAAAACAUCAUUCAUCUCUUUGAAGGCCAAAAUAACUUACUAAGGGAGAUUAAUGCAAAUGUAUCAAUCUUAGCACAACAAAAUGUUGGUGGCCUCCCUGAGGCAUCACGUUGGCCCAGUAGCAGUGCCCACCCCUCACCUGCAAUAACUCCACCCAGGCAUGGGGCCCGUACUAGAGGAGGUGGUACUGGUCUUUGGCACUCCUCACCCUCCCCUAGCCAUCCACCAAAAAGAUACAUUAAGUCAUUAUUUAAGAUUAUCCACAAAAAACCUUUUGUUUGUUACAUAACAUUUUUUAGCAAUCAUUUCUUUGCUUAAGAAGAAGCAGUGUUUAUUUUGUAGUUUAUACAUUACUUUCAAAAUGUUUGUAAAAAUUGUUCUUGGGUUCACAAACCAAUGUUUUAACAAUGCUGCAUACAAAGCAUUGUAUGAAAUGUGAAUAUAACGCUACUUUUGAGGCAUUUAAGCCUACAGUAUGUUUGCCUGUAUAUUGGUCAAAUUAAACAUGAUUUUCUAA